GAUGAACGCUGGCGGCGUGCUUAACACAUGCGAGUCGAACGAUGAAGCCCAGCUUGCUGGGUGGAUUAGUGGCGAACGGGUGAGUAACACGUGAGUAACCUGCCCUUAACUCUGGGAUAAGCCUGGGAAACUGGGUCUAAUACCGGAUAGGAGCGCCUACCGCAUGGUGGGUGUUGGAAAGAUUUAUCGGUUUUGGAUGGACUCGCGGCCUAUCAGCUUGUUGGUGAGGUAAUGGCUCACCAAGGCGACGACGGGUAGCCGGCCUGAGAGGGUGACCGGCCACACUGGGACUGAGACACGGCCCCGACUCCUACGGGAGGCAGCAGUGGGGAAUAUUGCACAAUGGGCGAAAGCCUGAUGCAGCGACGCCGCGUGAGGGAUGACGGCCUUCGGGUUGUAAACCUCUUUCAGUAGGGAAGAAGCGAAAGUGACGGUACCUGCAGAAGAAGCACCGGCUAACUACGUG
rnacentral:rRNA from 1 species